rnacentral:misc_RNA from 1 species
ACGGAUACCCAUGACUAUCAGGUCAAGAUGAAGAACGUUUUCAAGUUCCUUGAAAACGGUGACAAGGUCAAAGUCACCCUGCGGUUCCGUGGUCGCGAAAUGGCCCACCAGAACCUGGGCCGUGACCUGCUUUUGCGCGUUGCCGAAGACAUCAAGGAACUGGGCAAGGUCGAAAACAUGCCCAAGAUGGAAGGCCGCCAGAUGAUCAUGAUGAUCGCGCCGCUGCCCCAGAAAUAAUCCGCGCCACUGGCCGGACUGCCGACACCCUCGCACCUGAUCCGUGCGGGGGUGUUUUGCGUUUGCGCCCCAGGCAAA